rnacentral:rRNA from 1 species
GACAGAGGUGCCAAGCGUUAGGCGGAAUCACUGGGCUUAAAGCGUGUGUAGGCGGACCGUUAAGUACCUUGUGAAAUCCCCCGGCUCAACCGGGGAACUGCUGGGUAUACUGGCGGUCUUGGGCCACUCAGGGGCAGAUGGAACAGACGGUGGAGCGGUGAAAUGCGUAGAUAUCGCCUGGAACGCCAAAGGAGAAAUCAGUCUGCUGGGGGUGUGCCGACGCUGAGACACGAAAGCCAGGGGAGCGAACGGG